CGAGCAUCCGGAAGAACUGCCUAUGAACGCGCACUUUGGAUGCGACACAACUAUGCCGGGUUACUCAGAGAGGACAUCAUUGAACAAUCAGUGAUUGCUUAUAAAGGCUGAAAAACGAAAUUAAUGAAUAGAGAAUUCGCUACAGCAUACCUACAUCUUUUAUUUAAGGUGAGACUAAGUCUAUUGUCUCUUUUGUAUUGUCUAACAUGUUUUGCCGUGGAAUACAGAAAUGUGAUGUCACCUGCCUUCGGUUUGGGUUGAUGUGUUGGAUUUAUGGCCUGUGAUAUUCCAUUAAAAGCUUGCUCAGCUGUUGCAGUUUUGCUACAAAAGCUCUUAUUAUAACAUCUGAAGGUAAGAUUUGAUCUUGAUAUUCAGACUGACAUCUGGUCUACUCCAAUAUAGACUGGUUAUUAAAUAGGAAAAACUUGAGUCAGGAUGGAAGGGUUAGACCAGAUACAGCUUCUGGUGUAAAUAUGAAAUUGAUGCAAACACAUUGUAGCAUCUGUGAUGUGCAUUUUGGCUGUUAUUUAGUCAGGAUCAUUAUGAGAUGGCAAUAAGACGAUAUAAGGUACUCAAUACAUGCUACAUGUUUCAAAAUGUACAGCAUAUCAGAUACAUGGAGUUUUCCAAUGGCUUUUGACACUGUGAAACACCCAAAGGCUUACAUUAUUGGGCCUUGUAGAUAAUUGCUGAAAAGUCCUCUGGUGGAUGUGCAUUUAUUUUCUUCAACAGACACAAUACAGGCUUUACCGAGCAGUAGUAUACUGAGUGCCAUUUUAGAGAGCAAAAAUAGUCUUAACGGAUGGUGAUUUUAGGUAUAAUUGCCAGGCUGAUUAUUCAAUGACUUAUCAAAAUGGGUUAGAUAGCAAAGGUCAUGUAAUUGGAUGUCAGUGUUGGCAGCAGCUGGGAAGACAUGCUGUGCCAAUGAAGUGGUGGGUUGGAAUUUGGCAGCGUGUCUCGUUAUCCAGCUAUACCCCCUUUGUUGUGGCUCAACCAUUCUCUUUUGCCAAACAGGAAGGAGCCACUGAGACUGCUCUGUGCAACACACACACACACACACACACCACACACACACACACACACAAACUCAAUCCAGCAAAGUGAUUGAGAUCUGUGGGGAUCCACCUCUUAUCUUGGCAAUGAUUUUGUUCCUCCCUAAUCCAUCUGUUAGUCUAUGCAAUCCGUCAGCAACCUGUCCUCACAGGAAUGUGACUUAAUUAGUACAUGUCUUGUUACAUAGUUAAAUAUGCACUCUCAAACGUAUGUAUAAUUCCAGCCUGUAGUUUUGAAAGUGGUGCUCAUGGGCCAAACGUGGUUCACGUUGUUUGGGUACUACGUUGUCAAAUUGUGUACUAUGUCAUCCGUUUUGUAUGAUAUGUUACGUCCUGCAAAUAUUAGAAAUAAAGUACCGGUCAAAAAUUUGGACACACCUACUCAUUCCAGGUUUUUUCUUUAUUUGACUAUUU